rnacentral:rRNA from 1 species
CCAGUAUCCAGUAGUGGGUAUUCAGUUACUUACUAUUGUGUGUUGGUCGUUUACUGUGAGAAAAUUAGAGUGUUCAAAGCAGGCGUUUGCUUGAAUAGAUUAGCAUGGAAUAAUAAUUGAAGGCUUUCGUGUUCGAUUUGAUUGGUUUGUUCAUGGAAGCAAGGUUAAAAGGAACAGUUGGGGGUAUUCAUAUUCACUAGUUAGAGGUGAAAUUCUCGGAUUUAUGGAAGAUGAACAAGUGCG